rnacentral:rRNA from 1 species
AUACGUAGGUGACAAGCGUUAUCCGGAUUUACUGGGCGUAAAGGGCGUGUAGGCGGUCUUGCAAGUCAGAAGUGAAAUUCCUGAGCUCAACUCGGGCGCUGCUUCUGAAACUGCAGGACUUGAGUGCUGGAGGGGAUAGCGGAAUUCCUAGGGGAGCGGUAAAAUGCGCAGUUAUUAGGAAGAACACCGGUGGGGAAGGCGGCUAUCUGGACAGUAACUGACGCUGAGGCGCGAAAGCGUGGGGAGCAAACAGGAUUAGAUCCCCUGGUAGUCCACGCCGUAAACGAUGAAUACUAGGUGUAGGGGGUAUCGACUCCCUCUGUGCCGCAGUUAACACAAUAAGUAUUCCGCCUGGGGAGUACGGCCGCAAGGUUGAAACUCAAAUGAAUUGACGGGG